ensembl:lncRNA DPY19L2P2 DPY19L2 pseudogene 2
GCCAUGACGACCAGGAGGUCCGCUAGUCAACGGCUCGUCAACGGCUGCGGGGACAAGUCCGUUGAGGCUGCCAGGCGAGUCAGGCCUUUCUGGACCUCGCCUGACUCGGCUGGGCUGUGCCUGAAAUUGACCCAGCUCCACUAGGAAUUAUGAAGAAACAAGGAGUAAGCCCAAAGCCGCUGCAAUCUUCCCGCCCCAGCCCGUCUAAGCGGCCCUGCGGGGCCUCCCCCGCCCGGGAGCGGGAGGUGGAAAAGUCGGCCCUAGGCGGCGGGAAACUGCCGGGGGGCGCCAGGAGGUCCUCCCCGGGGAGGAUCCCAAAUCUGAAAAAGCGAAAAGGCUUGGAGCUAAAGGUGGUGGCCAAGGCCCUUCUCGGCCCCUUCCAGUUCGUCUGUAAUUCCCUGGCGCAGCUCCGGGAAGAGGUGCACGAACUGCAGGCGCGGUGGUUCCCCAGCAGAACCACUCUGCAUCGCCGUCUUUGUGGCAAUUCUACAUUGGUUACAUUUAGUAACACUUUUUGAAAAUGAUCAUCAUUUCUCUCACCUCUCAUCUUUGGAACGGGAGAUGACUUUUUGCAUUGAAACGGUAAUCAUAGCCUCCUGGUAUCGCACAUUCAUGGGAAUAGUGAAUUUAUUUGGACUAGAAACUAAGACCUGCUGGAAUGUCACCAGAAUAGAACCUCUUAAUGAAGUUCAAAGCUGUGAAGGAUUGCGAGAUCCUGCUUGCUUUUAUGUUGGUGUAAUCUUUAUUUUAAAUGGACUAAUGAUGGGAUUGUUCUUCAUAUAUGGAACAUACCUAAGUGGUACUGAACUGGGAGGUCUUAUUACAGUACUGUGCUUCUUUUUCAACCAUGGAGAGGCCACCUGUGUGAUGUGGACACCACCUCUCCGUGAAAGUUUUUCCUAUCCUUUCCUUGUACUUCAGAUGUAUGUUUUAACUUUGAUUCUCAGAUUAGGUGAUGGAAGCUGCCCAUUCUUCAUCACCCCUUGCUACUCAUUCCCAGUUUAAUUCCUAGAAAGGACCUCAAGCAAUGAUAGAAGGCCCUUCAUUGCACUCUGUCUUUCCAAUGUUGCUUUUAUGCUUCCCUGGCAAUUUGCUCAGUUUAUACUUUUUACACAGAUAGCAUCAUUAUUUCCCAUGUAUGUUGUGGGAUACAUUGAACCAAGCAAAUUUCAGAAGAUCAUUUAUAUGAACAUGAUUUCAGUUACCCUUAGUUUCAUUUUGAUGUUUGGAAAUUCAAUGUACUUAUCUUCUUAUUAUUCUUCAUCUUUGUUAAUGACAUGGGCAAUAAUUCUAAAGAGAAAUGAAAUUCAAAAACUGGGAGUAUCUAAACUCAACUGCUGGCUAAUUCAAGGUAGUGCCUGGUGGUGUGGAACAAUCAUUUUGAAAUUUCUGACAUCUAAAAUCUUAGGCGUUUCAGACCAUAUUUGCCUGAGUGAUCUUAUAGCAGCCGGAAUCUUAAGGUAUACAGAUUUUGAUACUUUAAAAUACACCUGUUCUCCCGAAUUUGACUUCAUGGAAAAAGCGACUCUGCUGAUAUACACAAAGACAUUAUUGCUUCCAGUUGUUAUGGUGAUUACAUGUUUUAUCUUUAAAAAGACUGUUGGUGAUAUUUCGCGUGUUUUAGCUACAAACGUUUAUCUAAGAUGCUGUCUUUGCAGGUGCCAUGCCUACAAUGGCAAGUGUCAAGCUGUCUACACUUCAUCCCAUUGUGAAUCAUCCACAUUACGAAGAUGCAGACUUGAGGCCUGGUUGCAGCAUGCUUGAAAUCUGGGAUGUGGAAGACCCUUCCAAUGCAGCUAACCCUCCCUUAUGUAGCGUCCUCCUUGAGCCGAGAUUGUGCCACUGCACUCCAGCCUGGGCGACAAAUCAAGACCCCGUCUCCAAAAAAAAAAAAAACAAAACUUGAUUGGGAUCCAAAAUCAUACAACUAUACACUAAAAUCAGUGAAUAUUACCUUAUGUAAAUUAAAAAUUAGGAAAUCAAAAGAAAAGCAUACAUAUAAAAAACAGUUUUUUCUAAGCA